rnacentral:rRNA from 1 species
UACGUAGGGGGCAAGCGUUAUCCGGAAUCAUUGGGCGUAAAGCGCGUGUAGGCGGUUCCGUAAGUCCGCUCUGAAAGCCCAGGGCUCAACCCUGGGAGGCGGGUGGAUACUACGGAACUGGAGUACGGAAGAGGAGAUUGGAAUUCCUGGUGUAGCGGUGAAAUGCGCAGGAUAUCAGGAGGAACACCAACAGCGAAAGGCAGAUCUCUGGGACGUUACUGACGCUGAGACGCGAAAGCGUGGGGAGCAAAACAGGAUUAGAACC